rnacentral:lncRNA from 1 species
GGGAUGAGUCUGUUCCUGCUGCAUCUCUCCUGACUACAAUUUUAUGUUCCUAGAGGGAUUUGUAAUCGCAAAUGACGUGGACAACAAGCGCUGCUAUCUGCUCGUCCAUCAGGCCAAACGGUUGAGCAGUCCCUGCAUCAUGGUGGUGAACCAUGACGCAUCCAGCAUUCCUAGACUCACAGUAGAUGUGGAUGGAAGGAAAGAGAUUCUCUUCUAUGAUCGGAUUUUGUGUGAUGUCCCUUGCAGUGGCGAUGGCACAAUGAGAAAAAACAUUGAUGUCUGGAAGAAAUGGACUACCUUAAACAG